UACGUAGGGUGCGAGCGUUGUCCGGAAUUAUUGGGCGUAAAGAGCUCGUAGGCGGUCUGUCGCGUCGGUCGUGAAAACUUGGGGCUUAACCCUGAGCUUGCGGUCGAUACGGGCAUGACUGGAGUUCGGCAGGGGAGACUGGAAUUCCUGGUGUAGCGGUGAAAUGCGCAGAUAUCAGGAGGAACACCGGUGGCGAAGGCGGGUCUCUGGGCCGAUACUGACACUGAGGAGCGAAAGCGUGGGUAGCAAACAGG
rnacentral:rRNA from 1 species